AGCGAACGCUGGCGGCAGGCCUAACACAUGCAAGUCGAACGAAGUCUUCGGACUUAGUGGCGGACGGGUGAGUAACACGUGGGAACGUACCUUUUGGUCUGGAACAACUCAGGGAAACUUGAGCUAAUACCGAAUGUGCCCUCAGGGGGAAAGAUUUAUUGCCAUUAGGGCGGCCCGAGUUCGAUUAGCUAGUUGGUGGGGUAAAGGCUCACCAAGGCUACGAUGUAUAGCUGGUCUGAGAGGAUGAUCAGACACACUGGGACUGGGAAACGGCCCGUACUCCUACGUAGGGCACCAGUGGGGAAUCUUGCGCAAUGGGCUAAAGCCUGACGCAGCCAGGCCGCGUGAAUGAUGAAGGGCGUAGGAUUGUAAAAUUCUUUUCGCAGGGACGAUAAUGACGGUACCUGCAGAGAAAGCCCCGGCUAACUUCGUGCCAGCAGCCGCCGUAA
rnacentral:rRNA from 1 species